UGCUGCGAGUCACGCACGUCUACGCUGCACUGCAGAACAGAUACCCUUACUACAGGCUCCAGGACAAGAAGGGCAUCAGCAGCUGGAAGAGCUCGGUGCGGCACGCUCUCUUCCAAAAAUGGUUCAAGAAGCUCCGCCCCACGUCCGGAAUGUACCAGAUGGUUCGGCCCAGGAGUUUCUUCUGGGGCCUCAACUACAGCACCAGGUGGGUGGGUGUGUGCGUGUGUGCGGGUAUGCGUAACCUGUCGCCGUC
rnacentral:lncRNA from 1 species